GGGCCCGCACAAGCAGCGGAGCGUGUGGUUUAAUUCGAUGUUACACGAAGAACCUUACCAGGGUUUGACAUGCAAGUAGUAGGGAUCUGAAAAGUGACCGACCCUUCGGGGAGCUUGCACAGGUGCUGCAUGGCUGUCGUCAGCUCGUGUCGUGAGAUGUUCGGUUAAGUCCGCUAACGAGCGCAACCCUCGCUGUGUGUUAUACGUGUCACACGGGACUGCCGGUCUUAAGCCGGAGGAAGGUGGGGAUGACGUCAAGUCAGCAUGGCCUUUAUAUCCUGGGCUACACACACGCUACAAUGGCCAGUACAAUAGGUUGCCAAGCCGCGAGGCGGAGCCAAUCCUAAAAAGCUGGUCUCAGUUCAGAUUGUAGGCUGCAACCCGCCUACAUGAAGAUGGAGUUGCUAGUAACCGCAGGUCAGCUAUACUGCGGUGAAUACGUUCCCGGGCCUU
rnacentral:rRNA from 1 species